rnacentral:rRNA from 1 species
CACGUAGGGCGCGAGCGUUGUCCGGAAUUAUUGGGCGUAAAGAGCUCGUAGGCGGCUUGUCACGUCGGUUGUGAAAGCCCGGGGCUUAACCCCGGGUCUGCAGUCGAUACGGGCAGGCUAGAGUGUGGUAGGGGAGAUCGGAAUUCCUGGUGUAGCGGUGAAAUGCGCAGAUAUCAGGAGGAACACCGGUGGCGAAGGCGGAUCUCUGGGCCAUUACUGACGCUGAGGAGCGAAAGCGUGGGGAGCGAACAGG